GGACCAAGGAUAAAAUUGUAACUUGGUACUACAGCUCAACACGUAGAGCCCAAUUUUGAUAACACGUGGUCACCGUUUGAUUUCUGAAACGCUCCAUCUGUGAACACCUUGUCUCAUACCUCCUCUCCAUCCUUAUUUCCUACUGUGUCUUCAGAAGCUGUGAGCGAGAGGAUCUAAAAGCUUAGUCAUUGAAGUAGUCCAGAAAAUAUCCUCAAGCUAUAAAGGCUUACGACAACAGCAACACUGAUUGAUGCCAGGUCUAAAAGCUUCCUUUUGCGGCCUGAUUCCAGACAUGACAGUAGCAUCAACUACCAAAUAAAUGUAUUCCUCCAAGUUACUGAGAUCCACCUGCGAAUUUCAUCCAAGAUAUUUCGCAGUAAUAAGCUUGUGAAGAUACGCUGCUUAUGGGAUUGAUAAAAGCAUUGCUAUCUUUAACUUCAAAAUGUGAGGAUGUAUUCCGUACCUUCAAUGUUUACCAGAUGAAUGCGUGGAGAUUACAACUAAUAAUGAGGAUCCACUUUUUGUAAAGCUUAAGGGUUUGAAUGGAGAAAGGAGGAGAUUGUCUCAGAGUUUUGAGUAUAAUUAUGAUGAUUUUAUUCCCAUUUUGAGGCCUUUCUUGAGAGGUUAUUUGAAGAUCCUAAGAGAAGUUAAGGAGAAGAGGUUGCAGCUAUUCAAAGACUACUCUCUUGAUGAAAGAAAGUAUGGAUACUUUGGGCAUUGAGAAGUGGAAAUUUGUCAGCGACGUGUGAGCUUUCACAUCUAUUGAAGCCCGUUUUUUACUACAUAGUUCUACUGAUCAUAUAUGAGUGGUUGAUCGAAAGAUUAUAGUAAUGUUCACUAGCCUUGAUUAUAGUAAUGUUCUAUUACGUGUAAGCCGAAGAACCAAUUGCAAGAUUACGUGCGCAGAAAGGCGUUAAAGAAUACAUUGGUCUCUCAUUGAUUGUAUUAGAAUUUUCAAACAAGUUCAUAAUAUUUUUGGCUACUUCGCAUUCCCAUAACAUGAUUACAUGUGGGGGAAGAUGUUUAA